AGGAGGAAAAACGAGUCGGUCGG
rnacentral:miRNA from 1 species